rnacentral:lncRNA from 1 species
CUAGCAUUAUAAAUAAAUAUAGAGAGUUCCAAGUCAUUUGCAAGCAAUUCCAAAGAAGAGGAAACCUAGCCUUUUUAGAUAUUCUCAAACCUUCAAGAUUACUAGCCAUCUCUCCAAGUUCCAUUACUAUCAAGUCAUUUCUUCAAAUCUAACCAGUCUCUAGAGGAACAAAAAGUAUCUACGACCGUUUCUUUGAAGUCUACAAAGGAAGAGCAAGCCUUUGCGAUCGUUUCUUUUAAGAUUUAAUCAAGCUAUCUCAAAUCUAAGGAAUCACAAGCCCUCGACCAUUCCUUUAAAGAUUUACUUAUCUUCAUCAGUUCGUGAUCGAACUUUUCGCCCAUGAAAAUCAAAGCUUCUUCUGUUCGACAUGAAGACUCCAUUUUGAAGAUUGCCAAUCACUCCGUUCAAGAUCAAGUUAUCAAACUCUCGAUAAUUUUUGCUUUCAAGGAGAUCGAAUCAGAGAAUUAUUUUAUUGUACAAAA